UGAACAACUUUUUUAAAGAACAAAUAUUUUCCAUAAAAUGUAUUUUCACCCGAUUAAUAGGUGUUACAAUCCCUUUCAUGUUCGUACACAAUUAAUGAAUGGUUCUACAAUUUUUUUAAAGAAAAGUAUUUUACAUAAAAUAUUUUACAAUUUUAAAAUCAUUAUUAAUAAAAUGAUCGUACAAGCCCAUACAUGCGCGGGCCCAAAAACACAAAAAAAUCAAAAAACCAAAUAAAAAAUAAAAAAUAAAAGUCCAUUUACAAUUAAAGUCCAAAUUACAAUAAACCCGAAUUACCCAAAAAUUAAACCCAAAGCCCAAUUUAUUAAUUCAACCCUAGCCCAAUAACCAAAUUACAAACGCAUUUCUAGCCCACUAGCCCAAAACAAAACAAAAAAAAUUAAAACCCUAGCAGUAACAGCAGCCACCAGUCGCUGCCCUCCGUGUGUGCUGCGCCACCGCCACGCGCGUGCCUCGCAUGCGAACCGGGCCUUCUCCGGCUGGCCAUACACCUGCAACAAGCUCAACAAAGCAGCAAGCCAAACCAAAAUAAUAGCAAAUAAUAACAGAAAAUAGGAAAAAAUGUAAAAAAUAGUUUCGAGAAUUUCAUUUUUCUUUCUGUUUUGGCUAUAAAAGGAGCCAAUCAAAGCUAUAAAAGUGAUUGGAAAAAAUCAAUAAAAAAAGAGAACAUAUAGCAGUGAAUUUUUAAGGUGAUUUUCCGAUUUCCAUUUUUCUUUUUUUUUCUUUCUUUUGUUUCCUUUGAUUUGUUUUUAUUGCAAACUAAAAAGAAACGAAAGAGGCCAUACCUACGUGAGUGUGUCGUCAGAAUCUCCACGUGCUCUGUUCCAAAUCGGAGUUGAGAGUGGAGGAUUUCUGGCUUGCGCAGCGACGAAAAGAAAUAGGGUGGUGGCUACUGAUUUUAGGGUUUAAAAGGGGCUAUUUAAAGUAGGAAAAACGACACUGUUUAGGGCCUGUGUCAAUGGCUUUAAAACGGUGUCGUAUUGAGCCAUACCCGAUG
rnacentral:lncRNA from 1 species